GUUGAAAAACAAUUAUUACUCAGAGUGUGAUAAAUCGCGUACUUACGUACUGGAGACACGAUAUUAGAGACGUUCAGAUUUGAUGUCUUGGAAUGAAAUAUUGUUGGACUGAUGGGACUAUAAGGAACGUUGGAGUCGAUUUUAGUAUUUGUGUAUAUGUAAUAGACGUCCUUCUCGUUCUUACUCGUAGUUUUAGGUUACUGAAUAUCUUUCGAAAAAC